rnacentral:rRNA from 1 species
UACGGAGGGAGCGAACGUUGUUCGGAUUUACUGGGCGUAAAGGGUGUGUAGGCGGUCUUGCAAGUCAGGGUGAAAUCUCUCGGCUCAACCGAGAAACUGCCUUUGAGACUGUAGGACUUGAGGGCGUGAGAGGAGACUGGAAUUCCUAGUGUAGCGGUGAAAUGCAUAGAUAUUAGGAGGAACACCAGUGGCGAAGGCGGAUCUCUGGGCCUUACCUGACGCUGAGGCGCGAAAGCUAGGGGAGCGAACAGG